CGUGGCUAACUACGUGCCAGCAGCCGCGGUAAUACGUAGGCGGCAAGCGUUAUCCGGAUUUAUUGGGCGUAAAGAGGGCGUAGGCGGUUUUUCAAGUCGAUUGUAAAAUCUCCCGGCUUAACUGGGAGGGGCCAUUCGAUACUGUUAGACUAGAGAGCAGCAGGGGGAGGUGGAAUUCCCGGUGUAGUGGUGAAAUGUGUAGAUAUCGGGAGGAACACCAGUGGCGAAGGCGGCCUCCUAGGCUGUUUCUAACGCUGAGGUCCGAAAGCGUGGGGAGCAAACAGGAUCAGAUGCCCUGGUAGUCCACGCUGUAAUCGAUGGACACUAGGUAUAGGGAGUAUCGACCCUCUCUGUGCCGAAGCUAACGCAUUAAGUGUCCCGCCUGGGGACUACGGCCGCAAGGCUAAAACUCAAAGGAAUUGACGGGGGCCCGCACAAGCAGCGGAGCGUGUGGUUUAAUUCGAUGCAACGCGAAGAACCUUACCAAGGCUUGACAUGUCGGAAGUAGCGACCCGAAAGGGAAGCCACCUGUUAAGUCAGGAACCGUCACAGGUGCUGCAUGGCUGUCGUCAGCUCGUGCCGUGAGGUGUUAGGUUAAGUCCUGUAACGAGCGCAACCCUCGUUGCCAGUUAUUUUCUCUGGCGAGACUGCCCUGUAAAAUGGGGAGGAAGGUGGGGAUGACGUCAAGUCAGCACGGCCCUUAUGCCUUGGGCUACACACACGCUACAAUGGGUGGUACAAUGGGUAGCAAUAGAGCGAUCUGGAGCCAAUCCUGUAAGGCCAUCCUCAGUUCGGAUUGCAGGCUGAAACCCGCCUGCAUGAAGUUGGAGUUGCUAGUAGCCGCAGGUCAGCAUACUGCGGUGAAUACGUUCUCGGGCCUUGUACACACCGCCCGUCACGUCAUGAAAGUUGGCAACACCUGAAGUCGAUGGGCUAACCCCGACUUGUCGGGGAGGCAGUCGCCGAGGGUGGGGUUAAUGAUUGGGACG
rnacentral:rRNA from 1 species